AUUUGAUCGUUCAGUCCAUCGUCAUCCGUCGCUUUGUUAAUUCUCAAAAAGAGGCGCGAAAAAGCAGAGGGAGAGGGGGAGAGAGAGAGAAGAGCGGCCAUGGCGGUUGCAGGUACUGAUGCACAGAAGCAGCUCCUGACUCUGAUUCGCGACUUCGCCUCCGAGAAAUCGCAAGGAGAGCGAAGAGUAGCUGAUCUGAGGAAACAAAUUGAGGAGCUGCGAUCGGCGCUGGAUGCGGCUAACGCAGAACUCGAAGGCACGAAGCUCCGUAGAGAGACUGCUGAGCAAGAGCUGAAAGGCUAUGAAGUUGAAUUGGCUGUGAACGAAUCCGCUAUUCAGACUCUUGAGGCUAGGAUUUCCACCAUUCAGAAGGAGAUAUCUACUGUUCGGUCAGAUCUACAGGAUCUGAAGAGUAAAGACAGCGAAUCUAGAGACGAGUUCAUCAACAAGAUGUUUGAGUUGAAUGCCAAAAUAAGGAAUUUCCAAAAGACAGCACUCAGAGAUGUUGGUAAAGAGGAUAUAAUCGGAAAUUUGUCCGAAGAUAGCUGCCUAUCUGUGAAGGAGGAUGUUCAUAGGACAGCUGACAGAGCUCUUGAGUAUAAACUGGCUCAUGUGAUAACUGAACUGACUAAGGAAGAAGAGAUGCUUCAAGUUGAGCAGAAUAUGCAAAAGCAGGUCCAGCAAGAAUUGAUCGAUUUGGAAAUGAAAGUGCUGUCAAUGGAGGCAAUUGCGAAGACGACAAGAGAUUUGCAGGUCCUGACUAGAUAUCCUUCCCUGAAAGUAGAUCAUGCAUUGUUAAGUAGACAACAUUUGCUCUAAGCGUCAUGCAUACCAAUGCGAAGAAAGCACAUGCUCCAAAAUCUCUAGUAGCCAUCAUAUUUAACAAAAUUCAUGACCUGUUCCCUUAUUUGUGUAUAGAUUGGAGGCAUACAUAUACAGAUAACCAAGUCAUGUAGUCACAUUACAUUGUAAAUGUCAAGGACUGCCAUUUAUGAAGAGUAGUUUAUCUUUGCAUGGAGAUGAAGCAUCGAAUAGGACGAUGUUAAGGAAGAUAGUUGAACUUUUUUACCUUGACGGAAACAAGCAGAGUUCCCAGUUAGAACAGAAGUAUUCUGGCCUAGCUGGGGAGCUCCAAAGGAGGAGUAUGUGUCCUUCUUGUUUUUGGAGUUGGAUUGAAGGUGCUGUAGAUGU